rnacentral:rRNA from 1 species
GACGUAGGGCGCGAGCGUUGUCCGGAUUUAUUGGGCGUAAAGAGCUCGUAGGCGGCUUGUCGCGUCGUCCGUGAAAACCCAUGGCUCAACUGUGGGCUUGCGGUCGAUACGGGCAGGCUGGAGUUCGGUAGGGGGGACUGGAAUUCCUGGUGUAGCGGUGAAGUGCGCAGAUAUCAGGAGGAACACCGGUGGCGAAGGCGGGUCUCUGGGCCGAUACUGACGCUGAGGAGCGAAAGCGUGGGGAGCGAACAGG